GACGAACGCUGGCGGCGUGCUUAACACAUGCAAGUCGAACGGAAAGGCCCCUUUGUUGUUACUCGAUUGGCGAACGGGUGAGUAAGACGUAAGUAAGCAGCCCUUGCCUUCGGGAUAACUUCAGGAAACUGGGGCUAAUACCUGAUCGGAAUCCUUUCUUCAUGCGGGGGGUUGGAAAGCUUCGGCGGGUCUGGCUGGACUCGCGGCUUAUCAGCUUGCUGGUUGGGUAGGGGGUUACCAAGGCGUUGACGGGUAGCCAGCCUGGGAGGGCGACCGGCCACAUUGGGACCGAGAUGAGGCCCAGACUGCUAAGGGAGGCAGCAGGGGGGAAUAUUGGACAAUGGGCGGAAGGCUGAUGCAGGAAAGCCGCGGGCGGGAAGACGGCCUUCGGGUUGUAAAACGUUUUCAGCAGGGGCGAAACUUGUGGUGACGGUACCUGCAGAAGAAGCACCGGCUAACUACGUG
rnacentral:rRNA from 1 species